GAAAACCCCCAAAAAAUGUUGGGCUUCGAUUUGAAAUAAUUUUUGGUCUUUUUUUCUUUUUUUCUUUUUACAAAUGGUGAAUAAUUUCAAUUUAAUAGAAUAAAAUGGUCUCAAUUAUGCUUUCAACUAUAGUAAAUUUAUAGUAUUGAGCUCCAUUUGAUUGGGGACAGCUGAUUGCUCUGUGAUCAAGAGAAGUUCUGGAAGAAAGAAGCUGGUUUCAAUAGCCGCAAUUCCAAAGGGGAAUUGAAUGAAGAAGAGACUUGACGACGACAAGAUGACCGUAGAAAUGUCACUGAGGCUCAAACCUCUCUUACAGCGUCUCUGAUGAAGAUGAAUGGAAACAAAGAUGUCUUGAAGAUAAAACAAAAACAUUAUGGGAGGCAAUCCAUCAGCAGAACAACAACACCUCCUGAAGAAGGUUCAAGAAUUUGAAGCAGAACAAUUAUAUCUCAAAGAAGAGAUCUACAAAUUAACCCUUUCGUCUUCUUACAUACCUAGUAAAUCAGGUUUCAUUAAAAGAUCCAACUGUGCACGAAAUGACAGUGUUGCUGGUGAUGAUGAUGAGGGAAAUAGUUGUAACUCUGAU